UACAGAGGGUGCAAGCGUUAAUCGGAUUUACUGGGCGUAAAGCGUGUGUAGGUGGCCGCGUAAGUCGGUUGUGAAAUCCCUGGGCUUAACCCGGGAAUUGCAGUCGAUACUGCGUGGCUAGAGUUCGGUAGAGGACGGCAGAAUUCCCGGUGUAGCGGUGAAAUGCGUAGAGAUCGGGAGGAAUACCGAUGGCGAAAGCAACCGUCUGGGCCUGAACUGACACUGAGACACGAAAAGCGUGGGGAGCAAACAGG
rnacentral:rRNA from 1 species